ensembl:snoRNA SNORD49A small nucleolar RNA SNORD49
UGAAAUGAUGAAAACUGGAAAUAGGAAGUGCCGUCUGAUGCGAAAACUGACGAUGUUCCUUGUUUGCUAUUCUGAUU